rnacentral:rRNA from 1 species
GACGAACGCUGGCGGCGUGCUUAACACAUGCAAGUCGAACGAUGAACUUGGAGCUUGCUCUGGGGGAUUAGUGGCGAACGGGUGAGUAACACGUGAGUAACCUGCCCUGGACUCUGGGAUAACUUCGAGAAAUCGGAGCUAAUGCCGGAUAGGACCUUGCACCGCAUGGUGUGGGGUGGAAAGUUUUUCGGUUUGGGAUGGACUCGCGGCCUAUCAGCUUGUUGGUGAGGUAAUGGCUCGCCAAGGCGUCGACGGGUAGCCGGCCUGAGAGGGUGACCGGGCAGACUGGGACUGAGACACUGCCCAGACUCCGACGGGAGGCAGCAGUGUGGAAUAGUGCACAAUGGGCGCAAGCCUGAUGCAGCAACGCCGCGUGCGGGAUGACGGCCUUCGGGUUGUAAACCGCUUUUAGUAGGGAAGAAGCCUUCGGGUGACGGUACCUGCAGAAAAAGGACCGGCUAACUACGUGCCAGCCGCCGCAGUAAGAC